CCUACGGGAGGCUGCAGUGAGGAAUAUUGGUCAAUGGACGGAAGUCUGAACCAGCCAUGCCGCGUGCAGGAAGACGUAUUUAUGAGUUGUAAACUGUUUUUGUACAAGGGUAAAACUGAAUACGUGUAUUCAGCUGAACGUAAUGUAAGAAUAAGGAUCGGCCAACUCCGUGACAGCAGCCGCGGUAAUACGGAGGAUCUAAGCGUUAUCCGGAGUUAUUGGGUUUAAAGGGUGCGUAGGCGGAUUGAUAAGUUAGAGGUGAAAGGUCCAAGCUUAACUAGAGAACUGCCUCUAGUACUGUGUAGCUAGAGUGUAGAUGCGGUAGGCGGAAUGUAUGGUGUAGCGGUGAAAUGCGUAGAGAUCAGACAGAACACCGAUGGCGAAGGCAGCUUACUAAUCUAUAACUGACGUUGAGGCACGAAAGCGUGGGGAGCAAACAGGAUUAGAUACCCUUGUAGUC
rnacentral:rRNA from 1 species